CUGGUAUCUUGUCGCUGCUUUGUUGGACAACAUGCAUUUUUAAUUUUUUAGAGCUUUUACUCUUAUUGUGUAUUAAUAAUUGUUUAAUUUUUUGUGAUAUAAAGUGUCUAUGAAUGUUCGUACAUAUUUAUUAUAUGUUAUCUUAUUUGUCGUUUUAACCUCAGAAUGUGUUCCACUGACUCUGACCAGGAGAAGGAUUGAGGUAUAGUGAAGGUGACCUUUUUACAUUCAACUUACAAUGUCAAAAUACAAAUUAAUAAUUAAUUUAACAAGUAAACUAUUAAAUGAAUAACCGAUUAAUAAAAUAAAAUUAAACAUGAAAUCAAAACCCCGAACACAGAAAAGUUCAUAAAAAUAUAUUCUUAUCAAAAAAAUCAAACACAGCUAAAUAACUCAAGAUGAGUCUAACACUACCUAAUUAAUAAAUAAUUAUUCAACAAAAUUAUUUAAUUUGGAAAUAUCAGUGUUGGCCAUGUUGGGUGGGUGAGAUGGUCGACCCCAGGACGUUUGCCUUGACCUUGGUCAAACUCAGGAUGGCUAUCUGAAGCCACUCAGCAAGGGAGUCAGCAAUACUCAAAGAAAUUAGCUCAAAUUUAACAAUAUACUUAAUCAACAUGGACCUGAACAAAAGGAUUUAAUAAAAGGACCUAAACAAUUUAAUAAUUUUAUUAAUCCAUUAAUCAAAUAGUUAUGUAAAUUUUUUUAUUGUCUUUUGUAAACUUAAGCGGUGGAAUGUACCGCUAUGGGUGUGAUUUUUUUGUAAAAACACCAGAUGGAAUUUCUCUAUGACCGAGUUUUUCCGCCUCGACCCUCUGUCGGGCAAAACUGUAAUAAGUUUGCUUUUGCUUUAAUAAACACAUUACUCAUUGUAUCUUUUUUACCAACGUCUAAUUUACCUCCUUCAAUGUUCACAUUUGACCAAGCUAAAUCUUUUGUUUUCCUUCUCGUCUUUAAGAUAUUUUAAUCAAGUGUUAACCAUCACCAUUUAAUAGUAAUACCACCCUGACUGUGCCCUUGUAUCUUCUGUAAAACAAUCUGUUGAUUAAGGUCAAUUACACUGUGUAAAAAUAAUAUCUUAUGGUGAUUAUUUAGACGACGAGUUGCCUUUGAAACCAGGCAAAGAAAGGGAAAAAUAGCGUAACAAUGGAUGAAUAAUCUUGCCAAAGGAGAGAGGAGGUAAACUCAUUACCAAAAUGUCAUCAAGUUGUUUUCAUUUGUUGGGAUAUCCAAGACAAAAAAAUAAUUACUCUUUACAGCUCUUAAAUUGGUGUCUACUUUAGUUACUUUCUAUGUGAAAACAAGGAUUUAGGAUUGCAGAGGAGACUAGAGGAAAAUUAGAUGGAAUCAUGUUAGGAAAAGAAACUUAUCAUUACGCCUUUUCACCAUCAUCGCCAUCACCAUCAUCAUCUUGUUGAACCUUUAAACAAGUCUUGGGACCUGGUAAUCUAUACCUGCGUUUGCCUUUUCGUGAGAAAAGAAGGAAAGCCAAAAGUGUCAAAAAUCUAAAUUGUUACUUGAUCCAAGUCAUCAUUGUUAUUGAUAUUGCUUUUUUUCAUGCACAGAAUAUGGUUAUUGAAAUUUCGUGUAAAAUUCUUGAUUCUCGUUAAUGAAUAAUCUUCUUUUUCUCUCAAGAUGGUUGGAUAUACAUUUAUUAUCACUUAUUGAUGGGUGUUCAAAAUUUUUGUGGACAAUUUUACUGAUGAUUGAAAUCACCUUACCGUUACGUCUUUUUUCAAGAUUCCCAUUGAUCAACUUCACAUUGAAAUUGAAUUUUGAACAUGUGUUGAUCUAGCAAAUUUAUGGCAACUAUAAUCACUACUCUUCUGAUUAUUAUAGCUGUUGCUACCUUUUUUAUUACAUAACAUUUUUGUAUCAUUAUGUAAAAAUUGAUAGCAAUUUUAGUUUCACCUAGCUGUCUCUGCUCAACUUGAUAUUCAUGGUUGAACCAGCAGAAAAGGUUAAAUGCUUAACCAUCUCCUAGUGUUCAUUGUUUCUUCUGUUAGAGAUUGUUAACUCAAUUAUUCCAGUUGAAUGAAUAGUGUUUGGAUUAUGCUUUGAAACUAAACAAUUUGUUUCCAAAUUUUCUUAGCAACAGUAAAUUCAGUUGAUGACCAGAUAUAUCACUUACUCUGUGAUUAAAAUUGGAAAUGGGUUAACAAUAAAAGAGUUAGAGUUGGACUUUACCAGAUUUUUAAUUACGGCAACAAUGUCUUCGUUUAAUCAUCUUUUUUCAAAGCUUCUUGUUUGAAGAGAAACAAUUGAAAUUUAAAUUUGAAUACUAAACGUAAACAUUGAAAGUGAAUUAUGGCCUAAACACAUGAUUUUAUUAAACAGAUCAAACAAUUGGACGAAUUAAACAUUUAGUUUGAAAUGUGAAAGGUUUAAAUUUACAUAUAUAGUGUUUACAAAGUGCAAAAUUAACUGUUUAAAUUUGAAAACUCAAGGAAACUGAAUAUUUUUUGACAAUAGAACCUUUUAAAACAAAGUUUUUUUGGUAAACAUACAAUAGGACCAGGGCUGAUCGGCCUUAACCAGUGACAUCAAUUUAACGCCCUGGUAAACAAUGGUUAAAAGACAGUGACAAAACAAGGUGAAAGACAAUCAAAUAAACAUACGGAUCAUUUUAAUUGGGUCAGCUGAAAAAUUUAAGUUAAUCAAAUGGUGAACCUGAUUUUGAUACAAUAAUGAAAUGGUAUUAAAGGCCUGAGAUGUGUAAUUAAAAGAAAGAGUAAAAUAGGAAGAUAAACAAAAGAUUGACCGAUACGUGGACAAAUAAUGAAAGCUAUUAUCAAAUUGGUCAAUGAAAAGCUUUUCGUAUAACCAACAGGUUCAUCAAUUUGCAGAAUCAGGGAAAAGGGUUUUCAAUCACAGGACAAAUCUCUAGCCUGAAAUAACGGAAAAAAGCUGGAAGUAUAACAAGCUGAUUAUGAUCUACAGCUGAUGUUCAACUCGUAAUGCGGAAAGGAUUACUAUUAUCUUUGAACAUGAUAAUUGUAUCAUGAUGGUUACUCGGUUUGGACAAGCUAACUGAAGCAAAAAAUUAUGUUUCUAACAGAAUUGCCGGAUGAAAGUAAUGUUAUCAAGUAUGAAGCACUUGAAGCUUUUAAUUUGGCGAAAUGAAGAAAGUAAAACAACGCCAAAUGGAUGGGGAUGAGAGGAGCCGUCAAAGGUACGUGAUAACGAUAAACUAUGAACAUUGCGUCUGUUUGUGGAACCCGGAACGCUCUAGAGAGAUGAUCACAACCUUCUAGUUAUGAUUGUCAAGACUGAUUGGUGCACAAUUGAGGAAAUGAUUUACCUUUGCGCUAUAUUUUUACACUGUAAUGGUUCAUUGGAAGCUCAAUCUGAACAUGGAUCAAACUGAAACUGGAAAAAUUUACAAAUUCAGUUACAGGCAGAAAUUAAGGAAUCAUUUGACUAUUUCAAUCUUGAACAUAUACAAACAAUUUCAAGGGAAAAUAAUGAUAGCUCAUCUACUGUUAUGGUGAUAACAUGGAAUGAUGGAUGAAGAUUAACUUGAAAAUGGCAAAGAGAAAGGAGAAACAUUUACCAAUCUAAUUGUUAAUUCAAGUCACAAUUAUUGUCCUCCAAUCAUCUACAAUUUGCAGUAAAAGUUAUUCCUUUAACUA